rnacentral:rRNA from 1 species
AUGGUGGAGGGCUCCGCUCUAGAUAUUGCUAACCUGGAGCUCCUUCUCCUGUGCUUCCAACAAAUGUCGGGCCUAACCAUCAACUUCGAUAAGAGCGAAGUGAUGGUUCUCGGAUACCCCAUGGAGGAAGCACAGGCUAUUGCUGACCGACUAAAUUGUCGGUUGGGUUCUUUCCUCACGACUUACCUGGGGAUCCCCAUUAGUGAUUCGCGCCUCACCGUGGCCGAUCUUCGCCCCACGGUGACCCGUAUGCAACAUCGCCUUGAGCCCUGGAAAGGGUGCUGGUUGUCGAAGGCUGCUCGCGUGAUCCUUAUCAAUUCUUCGCUUGCCGGCCUUCUAUGGUUCCUCAUGAGCUUCUAUAGCCUCCAUGAAACCCUUAAUCAGGAGAUCGCCAAAUACCAAUCCAGAUUCUUCUGGGCUGGGGAGGGGGAUAAGUAGAAGUAGCACAUGGCCAGCUGGCCAGAUAUCUGCAAGCCCAAGGACCAGGCUGGUCUUGGGAUCUUGUCCUCCCGACGCAUGAACAUUGCCCUCUUGACCCGUUGGCUCUGGCGCAUUGCCAAUGGCGAUGGAGGACUUUGGCUC